rnacentral:rRNA from 1 species
UACGUAGGUGGCGAGCGUUGUCCGGAUUUACUGGGCGUAAAGAGCGCGCAGGCGGUCGUUCAAGUCGAGUGUGAAAGCCCCCGGCUCAACUGGGGAGGGUCACUCGAUACUGAUCGACUUGAAGGCAGGAGAGGGAAGCGGAAUUCCCGGUGUAGUGGUGAAAUGCGUAGAUAUCGGGAGGAACACCAGUGGCGAAGGCGGCUUCCUGGCCUGUUCUUGACGCUGAGGCGCGAAAGCUAGGGGAGCAAACGGGG